UGAGAUAGAGAAAUUCGGUCCAACCUGGGGCCCGUGAAAAGGCGCACGCGGUCCGUACCCAGAUCCGACACAGGUGUCCGUGGCGGCGAAAGCCAAGGCCUGUCGGGGACAACCGACGUUAGGGAAUUCGGCAAGUUAGUCCCGUACGUUCGCAAUAAGGGAUGCCUGCCUCGGAACGAGGCAGGUCGCAGCGACUCGGACGCUCCAACUGUCUAAUAGCAACACAGGUGACCGCAAAUCCGCAAGGACUCGUACGGUCACUGAAUCCUGCCCAGUGCGGGUAUCUGAACACCCGGUACAACGGGACGAAGGACCCGUCAACGGCGGGGGUAACUAUGACCCUCUUAAGGUAGCGUAGUACCUUGCCGCUUCAGUAGCGGCUCGCAUGAAUGGAUGAAUGAGAGCGUCACUGUCCCAACGUUGGGCCCGGUGAACUGUACGUUCCAGUGCGGAGUCUGGAGACCCCCAAGGGGAAGCGAAGACCCUAUAGAGCUUUACUGCAGGCUGUCGCUGGGACACGGUCGCUAGUGUGCAGGAUAGGUAGGAGUCAUUACACAGGUACCCGCGCUAGCGGGCCACCGAGACAUCACUGAAAUACUACCCACUAGUGACUGUGACCCUUACUCCUGGCGGAGGACACCGGUAGCCGGGCAGUUUGACUGGGGCGGUACGCGCUUGAAAGAAUAUCGAGCGCGCCCGAAGAUCACCUCAUCCGGGUCGGAGACCCGGAAAAGAGCGUAAGAGCAAAAGGUGGUCUGACAGUGUUCUCUCCAACACGGGAACGCUGACGCGAAAGCGUGGUCUAGCGAACGGAUGAGCCUGCUUGAUGCGGGCCAUUUACGACAGAAAAGCUACCUUAGGGAUAACAGAGUCGUCACCGGCAAGAGCACAUAUCGACCCGGUGGCUUGCUACCUCGAUGUCGGUUCCCUCCAUCCUGCCCGUGCAGCAGCGGGCAAGGGUGAGGUUGUUCGCCUAUUAAAGGAGGUCGUGAGCUGGGUUUAGACCGUCGUGAGACAGGUCGGCUGCUAUCUAUUGGGGGUGUCAUGGUACCUGACGGGAACGAUCGUAUAGUACGAGAGGAACUACGAUUGGUCGCCACUGGUGUACCGGUUGUCCGAGAGGGCACGUGCCGGGCAGCCACGCGACACGGGGUAAGAGCUGAACGCAUCUAAGCUCGAAACCCACCCGGAAAAGAGGUACCGCCGAGGUCACUCGUAGAAGACGAGUUCGAUAGACUCGGGGUGUACGCGCCGAGGCAACGAGGCGUUCAGCCCGCGAGCACUAACUGACC
rnacentral:rRNA from 1 species